AUUGAACGCUGGCGGCAGGCCUAACACAUGCAAGUCGAGCGGAUGAAGGGAGCUUGCUCCUGGAUUCAGCGGCGGACGGGUGAGUAAUGCCUAGGAAUCUGCCUGGUAGUGGGGGAUAACGUCCGGAAACGGGCGCUAAUACCGCAUACGUCCUGAGGGAGAAAGUGGGGGAUCUUCGGACCUCACGCUAUCAGAUGAGCCUAGGUCGGAUUAGCUAGUUGGUGGGGUAAAGGCCUACCAAGGCGACGAUCCGUAACUGGUCUGAGAGGAUGAUCAGUCACAAUGGAACUGAGAAACGGUCCAGACCCCGACGGGAGGCAGGAGUGGGGAAUAUGGGAAAAUGGGCGAAAGCCGGACCCAGCCAUGCCGGGGGUGGGAAGAAGGUCUUCGGAUUGUAAAGCACUUUAAGUUGGGAGGAAGGGCAGUAAGUUAAAACCUUGCUGUUUUGACGUUACAAAAAGAAUAAGCACCGGCAAAAUGCGG
rnacentral:rRNA from 1 species